AUCGGUACCUCAAUUUUGAAGUCAAGAAUGCAUAGCGAUAUGAAUUGCUUGAUGGAAAUUUUCAGUUCCUAAACUUUGUCUAGGUCACAUCCCAUAAGGGUUGAGUCUUCCUGGGCCAUUAGCUCAGGUGGUUAGAGCGCACCCCUGAUAAGGGUGAGGUCCCUGGUUCAAGUCCAGGAUGGCCCAUUCGGUGUUGGGGGUUUAGCUCAGUUGGUAGAGCGCCUGCUUUGCAAGCAGGAUGUCAGGAGUUCGAGUCUCCUAACCUCCACUGAUCGAACUCAAUCUCCAUCUUCUGAAUGAUGGAAGGUGAACUSGAAUGUGAUGUGAUUUAGAUGUGUCCGCUGGCAUGACCCCAGCUUCCUGUCAUUCCGAAAUGACGUGAGUUAUCACAAUUUUUUGGUUGAUAAGAUGCUGGGCUCGAACUGUUUAAUCAGUUUGAUGUUUAGCAGAACCUUGACAACUGCAUAGGAAAAAGUCUGUAAGAAUAAAGCAUCUCUCAUGGAUGCAUCAUUCUUUUUAGGAUGAUGUCAAUUC
rnacentral:tRNA from 1 species